GGAUGUGAGGGUCAAUUGGCUGCAACAUCUGUCAUCCCACUGAUUGCCAGGGUUGAUUUGGCUCUCUCGGUGGGUGUCCCCUUCCUCCCUCACAGCUCCAUGUGAGUCCCUCCUGAAGCCGCACAUUCAGUGGAAGAGGACAACCUUCCUUGAUAGAGGAAGAAAUGUUCUUAAGGGUAUGGGAGUAGCUGCUGGAACCCCCCCCCCCAACAAACCAACAGAAAAAUGUGAAGUCUCCAAAUGCCUCAUGCCUGCUUUUCUCUAUUU
rnacentral:snRNA from 1 species